ensembl:miRNA Gm27711 predicted gene, 27711
CCAGCACUCUGCUGGUUGGGUCAGGUUAAGAUCCAGAUGAAAGAUUCAAGAGAGAACCCUCUUCCCUGGAGUGUUACAGCUCGAUCGGUAAGACAGGCACUCAGACAAUCUUUGGUGA